rnacentral:SRP_RNA from 1 species
GUUUGGUAAUACUGCGGCGUAAACUGCCGAACCGUGUCAGGAUGGAAACAUAGCAGCGCUAAGGCAAUCUUUACGGGUGUAGUGUUUUCCAAAAACA